rnacentral:rRNA from 1 species
UACGGGGGGGGCGAGCGUUGUUCGGAAUUACUGGGCGUAAAGGGUUUGUAGGUGGCCUGCUAAGUCAGACGUGAAAUCCCUCAGCUUAACUGGGGAACUGCGUCUGAUACUGGCGGGCUUGAGGACAGGAGAGGAACGCGGAAUUCCAGGUGUAGCGGUGAAAUGCGUAGAUAUCUGGAGGGACACCGGUGGCGAAGGCGGCGUUCUGGACUGUUUCUGACACUGAAAAACGAAAGCCAGGGGAGCAAACGGG